rnacentral:lncRNA from 1 species
CAGUUUUAACAAAAUUAUGCAAGUAACUAUUGUUAAUGAACAAUCUCAACUCAAAGCUAGUCAAAAUGUUAUGUGAAACUCUAAGAAAAAUUAUAUUAACUCACAACACCGAUCAUUAAUAUAAUGGAAAACAAAAUUCGGAAGUAAAGACUCAAAGAGAACUGCAAGAAUGUCAUGCACGUACAUACCUUUUAGUAAUGGAAAUGUGUUAGAGGAUGAUGGUAGUUUAGGAGGUAGUUUAGAGGUUUUAGUGAUCAGAGAUUUUAGUAAAGGUAGUUUGAUAGUUAAGGUUUUUAGUUGUAGUAGUUUGGUAAAAGAAAGACUUAGUUCGUAGUUUAGAAAUGGUUGAAGGAUGUAGGAUACACAAAGCAAAAACUUCGUUGAUAGUAGAUACAAUACAAGGAUAAGAAUUUAAAAAAAAAAAAAAAGGUUUUUAAGCUUAGCAUAGUUUUUGGCUUACGUUACAAGUGAUGCAUGGUUGCAUGACUAUUUAUAGCCCUCUUAACCAACCUAAAUGGAACAACUUAGACAAACUUUUCACCCAUAGAACUUGCAAGAAUCUUAGGCAAUUCACUAGAAAAUUUUAGAGUUCUUUGAAUUGUGGAUGGGAAUUCUUUCUUUCAUAUAACGUUCCUAGUGUUUGUAUGAUUUCUCUAUAACUUUCCUAACUUAACUUAGCACUAACUUGUAGUAUUUUCUAGAAUUGACCUCUAGAAUCUUCUUUAAAUGCAUAAAUAAUUUAACACUCAUCUUUAAUGUACUUAACUGAUACUAUAAGUUAAUCUCGUAGUGCCUCAAACUUAAUUCACAAAGAGCUUUCGUGAAGAUAUCUGUUAAUUGUUCUCAAAGAAAUCGUUGACUUAUUAUUACAUAAUAUUGUUGUAGAUCCAUUAAUUUCUCGAUAUUAUGUUUAGAUUUAUAAGACCUUACAUUAAGCUUAGAUUGCAAAGCAUUCUUAAUAGAGUCUUGUUCGUAGUACUGAGUCUUUUCUUAUGUACUUUUAAAGAACUUAUUAGUUCAGCUAGUGACAAGAUUGUUAAAUCUUUUGAUUAUUCUAUAGUAGUGACUAUAGAGUCAUUUUCUUGUAAGAUUGAUUGGAAAUUUUUCAACAACCCUUUGAUCAGUAACAUUUUCUCCUACAGAUCUCGUUUGAUUUACCACUACUUUAACUCUUCCAUGAUAAUCUUUAACAGUCUCAGAAUAUUUCAUUUUAAUAUUUUCCAAUUCUCUUCGUAGUAUUUGAAGUCUAAUGGUGCGUACCUUAGAAUCGCCGAGAAACUCCUUCUGCAACGUAUCCCACGCUUGCUUUGCUGUUGAAGCUUCACUAAUCCUAGGAAAAAUUGUAAUCGCUAGUGACUGUUGAAUCAAAUAUAGGGCACUAGCAUCCUUCUGUUUUCUCACCUCUAACUCCUUUUGUUGUGCUUCUUCUAGAAUAGAGAUAUUUGUUGGCUUGUUAAGUCCCUUCUCAACAAUGUCCGUAAGAUUUUGAGACUUAAAGAGUGUCAUCAUUUUUUUUCCCCACAAAUCAUAGCCGCUACCAUCAAAAAUGGGAAGUGGCAUAGAGAUAGAUUGUGAUGAAUUUGUGGUGGCCAUAUAGACUCUAAUGACCACUUACGAUCAAUUGAGCUCUGAUAGCACUGUUAGAGGAUGAUGGUAAUUAAGGAGGUUUUAGUGAUUAGGGGUUGAAAUGAAAGUAGUUUGAUAGUUAAGGUUUUUAGUUGUAAUUUGGAAAUGGUUGAAGGAUGUGGGAUAUACAAAGCAAAAUCUUUGUUGAUAGGAAAUAUAAUACAAGAAGGAGAGUUUU